AGUGAACGCUGGCGGUAGGCCUAACACAUGCAAGUCGAACGGCAGCACAGUAAGAGCUUGCUCUUACGGGUGGCGAGUGGCGGACGGGUGAGGAAUACAUCGGAAUCUACUUUUUCGUGGGGGAUAACGUAGGGAAACUUAUGCUAAUACCGCAUACGACCUACGGGUGAAAGCAGGGGAUCUUCGGACCUUUCGUGAUUGUAUGAGCCGAUGUCGGAUUAGCUAGUUGGCGGGGUAAAGGCCCACCAAGGCCACGAUCCGUAGCUGGUCUGAGAGGAUGAUCAGCCACACUGGAACUGAGACACGGUCCAGACUCCUACGGGAGGCAGCAGUGGGGAAUAUUGGGCAAUGGGCGCAAGCCUGAUCCAGCCAUACCGCGUGGGUGAAGAAGGCCUUCGGGUUGUAAAGCCCUUUUGUUGGGAAAGAAAAGCAGCAGGUUAAUACCCCGCUGUUCUGACGGUACCCAAAGAAUAAGCACCGGCUAACUUCGUG
rnacentral:rRNA from 1 species